UAAGACAUCUGAGUUGUGGUUUGAGAUAGAGAGUUCAGACGCUCCAUAACCUGAGUAGGGGUGACCUCCGGAAUAGGUUUAUGGUUUCGAGAUAAGUUUAUUAGUGCAAGAGGAAGAUCAAAUAAUUCAUUUUGAGAGAAUGAAGGAAUAUUACUAGGAAUGGAUAGAUUUGAUCAUUUUUGGGAGGAAAGAGAACCCACCUUAGAUUUUCCAGAUGUAUGAUUUGGUGAUGCGGUGUCUAGGCAAUCAGAGGUCCAUGGAGAAGAUGUAUUAGAAUGAAGAGAUGAAUGAUGGGGAGAGGCUAAGAGACUAUAAAUGUGAAUUGGAGAGGGGGAUUCGACUAUGGGAGGUGGAGAGUGAGUAUGUGAUAUAGAUGGUUCGGCUUCAGGCAUAGGAGAUAAGAGAUCCAUGAUUGGAGAUUGAGGAAAUAAUUGAGUUUCCAUGUGGGAUAGAAAAUUUAUGAUUUAAAUAUUUUCAUUAUUUUCAAGAGGAGAGUAUUAUUCAUAACAAAUAGAUGUGGAUGGUUGAAAGAGAGAAGACUGGUCAGAGAUCGAGGAAGGCAGACUCAAGAUUUCGGGAUGACAUUCAGAGGAUGGAGGAAUCUAGGAAUGUUCUGGCUCUAGUUGAGAAGUAGAUGGUUGAGAUUUAUUUGGCAGCUUCUCCUCAGAGAUAGAAUCUUCAGGUUUUACGAUCGGAGGGUCAUAACCCUUGGUUGCGUCCUCUAUGAUAUUAGUGAUGACAUAAGUCAAUCAUAGAGAUACGUCUGAAGAAUGUGAAAAUCGUUGUGUUGAGUCAUUUUUAUGUUUAGUUCUCAGCUCUUUUCUCUUUCUCUUUUAUUAUCUUCUUUUUUGUCUUCCCUCAGUCUUUUUCUUCUGUCGGGCGGCUUCCAAUCUAUCUAUCUUUUUUUGCCUUUUGUCAGCUUUCUAAGUCAUUUUAAUUAGUUUACUCCUCUUCCUUAUGUUCUUAGGCAUAGAGCUUGUUCCUUUAGCAACAUGCUCUUUUUCUACAAUUGUUUAUGGCUCGGGCACAACUACCUUCUCAGCCUUCAAUUCAUCAUUCAGUGGAGGUUCAUGAGUGAAACUUUGUUUAGCAGACUCAUCAUCUGCUCUUGAACCAGAGGAAUGUGAUUUCAUCUUCCCUUGAUUCUUUUGGAUCAACUUGUAUUGUUCUUCUUCUUCUUCUUCAUCCUCCUCCUCUUCUGUUUCAACAGUUUGAGGAAACAUAGAUUCUCCUGCUUGUUCCUCUAGUUAAACAAGCACUCUUCUUAGAUGAUUUAGCCUCUUCUUUCUUAAAAUUAUUUAGGACAGAGGAAUAUUAUCAUCUUUUGUAUUUUUCAUUUGCUCAAAUGUUUGCACUCCUUUUUGAGCAUCCUCUGUACUUUCUGGAAUAAUAAUUUUUAAUAAUUUUUGUUUAUUCUGUUUUGGUUGAACAUGAACUCGAAGAAUCUGAGGGGCAAUUGACCUUUAAGAAGCUACUUUUUCUUAUUCUUCAAUGAUUAUAGCCUUUCUCUUUCCUUUAGCUUUAACUGGUUUUUGGACUUCGCUGAUAGUUUUGUCACUUUUGCCUUCAGACUGUUUGGACUUUAAAUAUUCCAGUGGAUUUCUUUUCCAAUGCUCAAACAAUUUUGGAGUGAUCUUCUUGUUUGUAUUAAGAAGGACUCCUUCGUCAUCUAAAAUUAUGUGCUUCAGACUCUUCUUCAAAAUGAUACUUACUAACCUUCCAUGAAACAUUUUAGGGGCAGGCUUAUCUGACACUUUUGAUUUUUCAAAAUCUUUAACCCAUUUUCUAACCAAGAUACAAAUAUAGCACCAAAGUUGAUUUCCUUGGACUUAACAAAUAUUGUCAUGAACUUUAAUUGAAGUUCAUAUACUGAGUCAUGAGCAGUUUCUUUACAAAUAAUACAUUUUCCUACGAUUUCAGGAAGGAACUCAUACUCUUAAGGAAAUCCUUUUUUCUUCAGACCUUUUAACUGUGGGUUCUUCUUGUGAUCCUUUUGUUGAAAUUAAUUGUAUCUAGUGAACUGAGACCUUUGUUCUUGAGACCUAGUCAAGUGUUGAUUUUUGCAGCUCCUAUUUGAAGUAUGACUCCUUUGACUUUAGUAUUUAUCACAUCAUUCUUGAACUUAGCAUUUAGAUAGAAUUCCUUGAUAAGAUCUUCUUGGUGUUAAAUUUCAGACACUCAGAGAACCCUGCGUCGUCAACGAGCUUCAGAAUAUCUCUGAUCUUCUUUUCUUGAGCAACGAACUGAUCAGAGCAAAGCUGAAUACCUAUUACGAUGUAGAAGUUUGCCAUUUGAUUUCAAUGUUUCUAAUUUUUUUGCAUAAAUAGUUAAGUUUUCUGAGGAUUUUGAGAUCUAGGGUUAGAAAGGUUUUUUUGGAUAUUUUGAAUAGUACGAAUAUCCAGAUUUUGUAGAUAUUAAAAUUGAAGAGUAAAGGUCAGAGAUAAAAUUUGAAAUAAUUUUUGGUAACUUCCCUCUUAGUUGAAUGAAAUGGGACACGUGUUAGUCUACAAUAUUUUGCACGUCGUUUCUGUUUUGUUGUAUUGUAGUUAGUAGGUAGUAGCUUUAUUGUUCACUUGCUUGUUUGACUAUGAAAGACACACGCCUUCUGUGAUCGACUGUGGCAUUACAAUUCAAGAAAAGUCAUCUAGAAACGUGAUAUCAUGGAUGCAAGUUCAGC
rnacentral:lncRNA from 1 species